GUAAAACCUUCCAUUCUUUGAAUCUUCUCGUCGCUUUUAUCCGCCAUAACUGCCAAGAUGUAUUUAGAAAUUGGCAGAUUAUGUGCCAUAUUUUUUAAGAAAUUUGAUCCAACCGAGUAAUCGACACUAUAAGCCAAGUAAUCGACACGUUAUUCAGCAGGCCCUACAGCGCAAACCUUCGUCUCAAAUUUCAAAUUUCAACCUGCGAACGGGCAUACGCAUUACGGGCUUUAUGGCCUGCGGAGGAGGUAGCUAUAGAGACAAGAAAGU